rnacentral:rRNA from 1 species
AGUCACUGACAUUAGAUACCCCUGUAGUCCAGGGUGUAAACGCUGCAGACUUGGUGUUGGAAGCCCUUUGGGGGCAUUCAGUGCCGGAGAGAAGUUGUUAAGUCUGCUACUUGGGGAGUCCGUCCGCAAGGAUGAAACUUAAAGGAAUUGGCGGGGGAGCACCGCAACGGGAGGAGCGUGCGGUUUAAUUGGAUUCAACACCGUAAACUCACCAGGGAAGACUGUUACAUGAAGGCCGAGAUGAAGACUCUGCUAGAUUUUCAG